GUUAUUUCCGGAAGACGAGGGCGUGACGCAGUUCGGGAAGCUUCGGAGGGGCUCGGAAGAGGGAUUCCCGCCCCGCUCGUAGUUCCUCGGAGCUUCUCAGCAAUCUUCGGCGUCCCUCGGGGUCGCCAUGGGGAUUCGGGGACAUUCGAUUCAGCUCGGAGAGACUUCGGCAGCGCUUGGCGCUGAGGGAUUGGCCCGAGGUUCUCAGGGGAGCCUGGAAUCCCUCAGCACCCACUGAGGGCUUCCCCUGCCCGAAAACUCACCUCCAGCCCAAAUUCCUGCCUUCUGGAGGGGCUGGAAGGGCCAGCACUGCAGCCUCCCCUGAGGCAUCAUCCCUCCUCACGGCCACCGUCUGAGCUUGGCAGCAGCCAAGGUGGUUUGUACCAUCUCAGAGAGAUAAAAAGCACCUCAGAACAGAUUCCAGCAGCUGCCAGAUUGUCCUGACGUGUCCUGCCCUGCCACUGGCUGCCGAGGGCUCAUUCCAACCUGCUGGCACCUUCCAACAUUCCUGCCUCACUGUACGUCCCAGGGAGAUGCUCCCAGCACCUUUGCUGUGCCCAUAAGUAUUGCUGCCCCAGUCACCCAGCCUCGGCUGCUGCUCUAGGAAACCUUCCCAGAGUUUACUUGUGUCCUGUCUGCUGCAAAUUCUGAGCAGCUGCAGGUUUAAGAAUGCUUUAAUGCAAUCACAAAUAAACCCUUAAACAUGAAAAGCUUCUUUUACUGAA